AGAGUUUGAUCAUGGCUCAGAUUGAACGCUGGCGGCAUGCCUUACACAUGCAAGUCGAACGGCAGCACGGGGGCAACCCUGGUGGCGAGUGGCGAACGGGUGAGUAAUAUAUCGGAACGUGCCCUGGAGUGGGGGAUAACUAGUCGAAAGAUUAGCUAAUACCGCAUACGAUCCAAGGAUGAAAGCGGGGGAUCGCAAGACCUCGCGCUCGUGGAGCGGCCGAUAUCUGAUUAGCUAGUUGGUGGGGUAAAAGCCUACCAAGGCGACGAUCAGUAGCUGGUCUGAGAGGACGACCAGCCACACUGGGACUGAGACACGGCCCAGACUCCUACGGGAGGCAGCAGUGGGGAAUUUUGGACAAUGGGGGAAACCCUGAUCCAGCAAUGCCGCGUGUGUGAAGAAGGCCUUCGGGUUGUAAAGCACUUUUGUCAGGAACGAAACGGCGGGGGCUAAUAUCCUUUGCUAAUGACGGUACCUGAAGAAUAAGCACCGGCUAACUACGUGCCAGCAGCCGCGGUAAUACGUAGGGUGCGAGCGUUAAUCGGAAUUACUGGGCGUAAAGCGUGCGCAGGCGGUUGUGCAAGACAGAUGUGAAAUCCCCGGGCUUAACCUGGGAAUUGCAUUUGUGACUGCACGGCUAGAGUGUGUCAGAGGGGGGUAGAAUUCCACGUAGCAGUGAAAUGCGUAGAUAUGUGGAGGAAUACCGAUGGCGAAGGCAGCCCCCUGGGAUAACACUGACGCUCAUGCACGAAAGCGUGGGGAGCAAACAGGAUUAGAUACCCUAGUAGUCC
rnacentral:rRNA from 1 species